CCCGGGCCUUGUACACACCGCCCGUCACACCACGAAAGUCGGUAACACCCGAAGUCAGUGGCCUAACCCGCAAGGGGAGGAGCUGCCGAAGGUGGGAUUAGCGAUUGGGGUG
rnacentral:rRNA from 1 species